UACGUAGGGGGCUAGCGUUGUCCGGAAUCAUUGGGCGUAAAGAGCGUGUAGGCGGCCCGGUAAGUCCGCUGUAAAAGUCAAAGGCUCAACCUUUGAAUGUCAGUGGAUACUGCCGGGCUAGAGUCCGGAAGAGGCGAGUGGAACUCCUGGUGUAGCGGUGGAAUGCGCAGAUAUCAGGAGGAACACCGGUGGCGAAGGCGGAUCUCUGGGCCUUACCUGACGCUCAGGCGCGAAAGCCAGGGGAGCGAACGGG
rnacentral:rRNA from 1 species